rnacentral:lncRNA from 1 species
AUAAAAGUUUCGAGCUCAAUUCUAUUUCUCCCUCUUCACAGGAUACUUCUGGUUCUGAGUUUAAAAUGCAUGAUUCAAUACAGGAGCUCAAAGACAAAAUACAAGUAGAGUCUGUUUCUGGUUCUGAGUUUAAAAUACAUGAUUCAACACAGGAGCUCAAGAACAAAAUAGAUGUAGAGUCUCUUUCUGGUUCUGAGUUGAAAAUGCAUGAUUCAAUACAGGAGUCCAGCAAAAUACAUGUAGAGUCUGUUUCUGGUUUUGAGUUUAAAAUAUAUGAUUCAACGCAGGAGCUUAAAAACAAAAUAGAUGUAGAGUCUCUUUCUGGUUCUGAAUUGAAAAUGCAUGAUUCAAUACAGGAAUCCAGCAAAAUACAUGUAGAGUCUGUUUCUGGUUCUGAAUUGAAAAUGCACGAUUCAAUACAGGAAUCCAGCAAAAUACAUGUAGAGUCUGUUUCUGGUUCUGAGUGUAAAAUACAUGAUUCAACACAGGAGCUCAAGAACAAAAUAGAUGUACAGUCUCUUUCUGGUUCUGAGUUGAAAAUGCAUGAUUCAAUACAGGAGUCCAGCAAAAUACAUGUAGAGUCUGUUUCUGGUUCUGAGUUUAAAAUACAUGAUUCAACACAGGAACUCAAGAACAAAAUAGAUGUAGAGUCUGUUUCUGGUUCUGAGUUUAAAAUACACGAUUCAACGCAGG